GUGGAUUAGCACGUUUGACUUCGGAUCAAAAGGUCGUGGGUUCGACUCCUAC
rnacentral:tRNA from 1 species